GACGGGGGGGGCAAGUGUUCUUCGGAAUGACUGGGCGUAAAGGGCACGUAGGCGGUGAAUCGGGUUGAAAGUGAAAGUCGCCAAAAAGUGGCGGAAUGCUCUCGAAACCAAUUCACUUGGGUGAGACAGAGGAGAGUGGAAUUUCGUGUGUAGGGGUGAAAUUCGUAGAUAUCGAGAGGAACAUCGGUGGCGAAGGCGGCCUUCUGGACAGCAACUGACGCUGAGACGCGAAAGCGUGGGGAGCAAACAGG
rnacentral:rRNA from 1 species